rnacentral:rRNA from 1 species
AUGGUUGGAGGGUUAUGGAUGUGCGUCGAGCUGUCUGCUUCGGUCCCGGCUGUGUGGUUCCUGCAUGAUGUCAUUGGUAGGGUGUGUGUGGUCGCCUUCCUGCUCUGGUUGUUGUGGUUCGCCGUCAGGUGGCGCUGUGGGGUUGCUGGCCGAUGGUGGUGCUCCAGUGGGGCGAGUGGAGAUGAGGUCUCCUCUCCGGUAAUGUGCGAGGAAAGAUGGUGGUAUCUCCUCCUGACUAUGGUGACGGUGCUCAUUCCGCGGUGGUGUCCCUGUCAUCCUCCAUCUAGUGCAUCUCUUCGGCCUCUGCACGCGCUGGUCUUCUUUGGCUUGGAGUUCAUCUUCGACUUGAUCAUGUAA